AAUCCAUAGGUUAAUGAGGCGAACCGGGGGAACUGAAACAUCUAAGUACCCCGAGGAAAAGAAAUCAACCGAGAUUCCCCCAGUAGCGGCGAGCGAACGGGGAGGAGCCCAGAGCCUGAAUCAGCAUGUGUGUUAGUGGAAGCGUCUGGAAAGGCGCGCGAUACAGGGUGACAGCCCCGUACACAAAAGCGCAUGUGCUGUGAGCUCGAUGAGUAGGGCGGGACACGUGGUAUCCUGUCUGAAUAUGGGGGGACCAUCCUCCAAGGCUAAAUACUCCUGACUGACCGAUAGUGAACCAGUACCGUGAGGGAAAGGCGAAAAGAACCCCGGCGAGGGGAGUGAAAAAGAACCUGAAACCGUGUACGUACAAGCAGUGGGAGCACAGGUUUACCUGUGUGACUGCGUACCUUUUGUAUAAUGGGUCAGCGACUUAUAUUCUGU
rnacentral:rRNA from 3 species